rnacentral:rRNA from 1 species
AUGGAGAUUUCAGCUGCGCCGGCGCCGGUGCUCGGAUCCGGAUCAACGUCGGCGGCCAACGAUCAGGCGGCUUGCUUGGGGGUUCCCGUUCCGGGCGGUGGCGGCGCCGCGGCGGCAGCAUCGGGAGUUGCCUCGCCGGAACCAGUCGUGCGGCUGCUCUCUCCUGAUAUGCGCCCGUCGGAAGAAGGGUUGGCACAGCCGGCGGCGGAAAGGGCUUUGUCGGAUGUCGAGUUCUCCGGGGGUUCCUGCACAACGUUCAUCUCUGGCGGUGGUGAUGCGGCGUCCGGAGGCGGCAAUGGCGCGGCUCCGCCCGCCGUCUCACAAGGCUCGAUUCAGUCCGUACCCCUCAGUGCAAGGCUCGAUUUUUUCCGGACUGAAUAA